rnacentral:lncRNA from 1 species
ACUGAACUGAGUGAAAUGAAAUAUAAAUUGACAUGAAGAAAAUGUUCUCUUUGCAGCUAUGGAAGCAGCUAUACUUGUCCAAAGGUGAUUUUUAUCACUUCAGCAAACAGUAGUUUGGGUCACUAAUCACAUCAUCCCAUUCAGUGGCUGGACUUUCUAUAAAACUUUGGCAUAAAGGAACACGUUUGUGGUGAAUGGGGCAUCUUAAGCCGGUAUCCAUUUGAAAUAUCUGGAUGCUUUUAAAGAAGACCUGAAGGACCUCAUUGUUAGAGACAAACCCUCAGUAUAGCUUCCAAGAAAAUGUGCUUCCCUCACCUGGCUGCAAGAAGAGCUAUGCUGAGACUGAUGCAGAGGCCAUACAUGCAGAAGAAUGAAUACAAAUUGGUUUUGGCAGAACUGGUCUUACACAGAUUCCCGCUGUGUCCACACUCUUAGUUCAGGGAGGCUUUCAGCUGCUGCCCUGGAUUAGACCUGGUGCCCUUGUAGUUCUGUU